rnacentral:rRNA from 1 species
UACGAAGGGGGCAAGCGUUGUUCGGAAUUACUGGGCGUAAAGGGCGCGUAGGCGGUGCUCUAAGUCAGGCGUGAAAGCCCUGGGCUCAACCCGGGAAUUGCGCUUGAUACUGGAGCGCUUGAAUCCAGGAGAGGUUGGUGGAAUUCCCAGUGUAGAGGUGGAAUUCGUAGAGAUUGGGAAGAACACCGGUGGCGAAGGCGGCCAACUGGACUGGUAUUGACGCUGAGGCGCGAAAGCGUGGGGAGCAAACAGG